rnacentral:lncRNA from 1 species
UUGGUAAAUAUCAUCUCAUAUUUACGACAUAGUUAUUAGCUGAUAUCUAUACCAUCAUCUCAUCACAUCGCAUGUGAUCCACAAAAAAUGUACCCUCUGACUAAAAUCUGAAAUCCGCCUCUCGGGCUAAGCACUUUUGCCACGGGCCUUUGGCCCCCUCCGUGCACGAAAGUGGGUUUUAAAGACCUCUGAUAAUCAAUUUUAGAACACGUCCAAAGCCCCUCAAUGAACUAUAUGUACACGGUCACGACAUCUUCAUCCCCAGUCGACCCCUCCAUGUAGUAUGGAAUACGGUCAAGACCCCUCUGUGAACUAGAAGAAGUAUAUAAUCAUGGGUACUUUUCUGGUCGAUCUCAAUAUCACGUCUCAUAUUCCAAUUCACAAAUGUACUAUAUAUAAUCUUUGAAAUUUU